rnacentral:rRNA from 1 species
UACGUAGGGCGCGAGCGUUGUCCGGAAUUAUUGGGCGUAAAGAGCUCGUAGGCGGCUUGUCGCGUCGGAUGUGAAAGCCCGGGGCUUAACUCCGGGUCUGCAUUCGAUACGGGCAGGCUAGAGUUCGGUAGGGGAGAUCGGAAUUCCUGGUGUAGCGGUGAAAUGCGCAGAUAUCAGGAGGAACACCGGUGGCGAAGGCGGAUCUCUGGGCCGAUACUGACGCUGAGGAGCGAAAGCGUGGGGAGCGAACAGG